GCCAGAACAAGAUGGCCGCCGCAAGGAAGAAACUCAGAAGCUUUGAAGAUGCUUCCUGAUGCUGGAGGAGAAGACGAGCAGCUUUGUACCUUUGCGGUAAGAAGACGGGCUGUUUCUCAGUUUCCCAGAGACUUUGGGCUGAGGAGGAGCUCUGAGGAGAGAGGGGUUUGCUGCAAAUGAUGAGUGGGUGCUCUGCAGUGAUCAUUUUAAACCUGAUGGGUUUGACAGGUGUUAAGGAAAAAUUACUCACAUUGUCAGACUGAGGUGUCCCUAAAUUUCGGUGUGUCUGCAAACUGCAGUCACCCUAAAAUCAAAUGUAGGUGCCAAGUCAUCCCAAAUUCUGCAAACCUGUUUAUGCUCACUCAGUCCCCAAUAUGACCCUGAGACAGACAGACGCUUGGAAAAGAUAACAUCGGAAUGAAAGGCAACUGUUUGGCUGACAAGCAUCGCAGAAUUCCUUAACAAAUUGGCAUCACGAGAACAGGAUCUCCACACAACAAAGAUUGACUCAACAAUGAGCUCCUCUAAAUAUGUUUGAGAACGACCCUGACCUGUGGCUCCUUACCAUCAGCCGGGAUGGUUAAAUGAGGAGGAAAGCCUGAUCAUCGUUGCCAGUGGGCCAGAUCAGCUGCCAGAGUGUGGAGCCGGUGUUGUUUUCUCGUGUUCUGUUUAAGACCAAGGGUCUACUUGCUGAAGGGCUGCGUGUUGGGCACCCAGUGUUGGAUUUGUGAAGCCUGCUUUGUGUUGAGCUCUUGUUUUUCCUUUGUGGCAAAUAAAUUCCUCUCUGUUGAGGUUACAUCCAGUUUUCCCAGCCUCUGUAGAUAUUCAUUCUUUCUACUUUCUAGUCCCCUCAUCCCCUAGUUCUCGGGGACGUAACAUCUACCUACAGGACUUCAUUACUUUCACCGUCCCUUCAUUCCACACAGAGCUCGGCAAGACAGCCUUUUCUUACUCUGCUCCCUCAACGUGGAACUCACUACAGCAGAGUCUGAAGCUGUCCCUCAUGAUUCACCUGGAGGACUUCAAACAUCUUCUAAACAUUAUGGAAAUAUCAUCUUUUAGGGCCCGUUCUUGUUCUUAGUGUUUUUACAUUUUGACUUCAUUGCUUUGUGCUUUGCACAUUCACUUUAUUGUCUAUGUUGUGUUUUGUCAUGACCCUGUUUGUCUGGAACUCAGUGUUAUAUUGUAUUGUUAUAUUGUCUAGUAUAGGUCCUUUAGUGUUGUUUGUCUGUGACUCAGUGUUGUCUUGUUAUGUUAUUUAAGGACAGGUCUCUUUUGAGAAUGAGACUCAGUGUCUCAAUAAGACUACCUAUAUAAAUAACGGCUAAAUAAAAAUAAAAUAAAAUAAAAAUAAUCCUCACACUUUGAAUGGUGAUGAUUUGCUGACUCAACAGAAAAGAUAAUCAAUAAAUAAAACUGCACCUGUUCAGGUUGAUGAUGUGACCGUCAUCAACGUUUCUUUCCUUCAUCGACUGAUACGCUUCACGUGCGCAGAUGGACAAGGCAAGAACGUUCACCUGGAAGAAACCGAGCAGAAAGAAAUUAAAGAAAGGCACAGGUUUUAUAACAUUAUUAGCAUUAACUCUUGUUCAAAUGUCUCUAUAAUAAAACCAAGUUCUUACAUCCAGCAUGUUCUUCCAGCCGCUGGUUUUGCCGCUCAACAGUGGGUCAUUAUUGGCCAAUCCAGCGUUGUUGACUAAAACAUCUACGCCUUUGUGCUGCGCUUUGAUGGUUGCAAACAUGGCCAGAAUGUCGUCCUCUUUGGUCAGGUCACACUUGAUAGGCACCAAAACCCCAGGGUAGCCUGCUUUUUUACACUCUGCUGCCAGUUCCUGAAAUGAGAAUUAAAAACAUAACAGAUGCUCAGCUUCACCAUCGAGUCUGUGGUUUUAGGAACCUGCCACUCAAAUGCUUGAUUUUGAUUGAAAUUUCCAGAUUUGUGGAAUAUAAGUUUGCACAUACUCUAAUUAGCAUUUACAUUUUUUAAUAAAGUGAGCCUUUAUAUUGAAAGAUAGACCCAAGAACUGGUUCCAGGGAGAGGCCCCGGUUUCCCUGGUCUGGGCGAGGUAGCAGCUUUCCUCUUGAGUGCUGUCAUCAUGGCUUUCUGAAUGGCUCGUUGUCUGGUCCCUCCCUCAGGACCAAUUUGCCUUAGGAUACCCUACCAGGGGCUAUUGCCCCGGACAACACAGCUUCCUGGGUCACAGGGACGCUCAAACCCCUUCACCGCUAUGAGGUGACGAUUCACUGGGGGGAAGCAACUUAUUCACUGCACUUAUUUCAAUAGUUCUUUUUAAAAAUGCAUUGUUUCUGUGUGAGUUUCUGACUCAGUGCAAUGAAUCACUUGCGUUCACUUUAUGUAAAAUUAAGUCAUAAGAUCUGCAGUGCUCUGCUAAACACACAAAUAUUUUGUUGUCUUGACAUAAAACUGCAACUUUUAUGUUCUAUUGCAAGUGAUGCAAGUUUUUAUGGACGUAAGUAUUUUAUUGAGCAAAUAGAAGCGUAGUUAUGGCACAGUACAGAAAUACUUCACAAUGUAAUUCUAUUCUGUGCAAUACCAUGCAAUGCUAAACAUACAAUGCUACACUGUGCUGCUAUACAUACUAGGCAAUAUUGUACAGGGCUAUGCAAUAUCGUGUUUCUCUGCUUUCUCACAAAACAUACUGUUACGGUCGGAGGAUGGAACCCGAGCAGAGAACACUCACAGAGGCAGACUGAACGAAAACACAGGUUUUAAUAAAGGAAGGGUCUGGGAGGGGUGUGAGAGGAGCAGAGGGAUGGUCGGAGGAGGAAAAGCCCAGAGGGUGGUGUAGCGGAGGUGGGGAUCAGCGGUGGGAGACUGCCCCGGAAGACCGGAGUGUGGCGCUGGCUCGCUGGAGGACGCCGGGACGGCGGAGCGCGGACUGGUGGCCAGGCGAUCCAGGACCACACAUGUCUGGGCUGGGGUGGGAGGCGGAUCCGGUGCGGCGUCAGGAGUAGGGGGAGCCAGGUCGGGGAGAAUCCCAGUGGAGAGGGGUCGCGGUCCGUGGGAGGCAGAAGACAGUCCAAGGAGGGAGGUUCGGUGGAGAGGGAACCAAAGUCCAAGGGGAGACGACAGGUUAUCCAGGCAAGGGGAUCCGGGGAAGAGGACACAGGAAACCAAGAGGCACAGCAAUCGGUCCGGGCAGCUGGACCGGGGAGUUGCGGUAGCAGAGUUUACAAUCUGGCAGGGUGUGGAGGGUUUGACUGGUCUU